UUUAAACAAAUGAUCAGGAAAGUAGGUCAAGUAUUCAUGGGCUGGCCUGUCUCCGAAGAUAACCAUUAACCUCUCUAAUCAACUUAGCCAGAAGUUCAAGGCACUUUAAAGUGAAGAUUAUUGGGCCAGGACAGCAGGAAGGACAGUAUGAAGCAUGUUCUGCAGCCUUCUUACCCAAGGAAGAGAAGAAUGGUGAUAAUCUGGAGCUGUGCUCAUGCUUCCUACCUCCUGACUGGGCCCCAACCUGAGGUGGAGCUAACUGACCAGGACACAUGAAACUGCUGGACAUGACAUGAGAAAUUGCUGGCUGUGAGAGGUGACAUUGUAAGCAGCUGCUGAAUGUCACAGAUAGCCCCCUGAGGGAUGGCUGGACUUCGUGGGAGGGGACGAUCAGGCAUCCUGACCUCACCAUGCCAGAGUCUGUGCCAGGCACCUUCCCAACUACUUCCUAAGGAGAGAGCCAGCAGAGGAAGGUCUCUGCCUCCAGAAGCAAAUGCCAGUAAUCCCAGCUCAGCUGUGACUGUGCUGAUAAGAAGGUCCGGAGAAGGAAGUGAGAAGUUACGAGAUGUUACUGCAAAGGUCCCUGUAUAGUUAGUCUGGACCAUUAGGUCAGCUGUCCCACACUCUUCAGGUUU